CUAAGACCUGACCAGAGGAAUGUUUUCACUUGUAGUAAGACUGGAAGCCAAUUGUCUCCUUAGGUAAAAAAAAAAAGCAGUUGAGCCAGUACUGAUUAGAUCCUCCCCUUCUGACUGAGCCUUAAAAGGAAAUAAUCCAGAGAGAGAGACAAAGGAAGUAGGACAGAGGGUGGAGGCAGGAACAUGGCGAGAGGCCAAGUCAGGGUCCUACUUGCUGAUGUGACAAUGAGGGGCACAAGUGGAGCCCUCAUGGCUUCACUUGGGCAAUCAGCAGCAUAAAAGAUGGGCAGGAAGCAUAGCCACCAUCAACUCACACUGCAGGGAGUCAUGAAUAUCACCUCCGUCUUUGACAUAUGAGGGGAGAAAUGCUCAGACCACAAAAGUGUCCUCCAACCCAGGGUCCAGGAGGGAAGAAUAAAACACUGGGCAAUUGCUGUUCCAGCAUGCCCGCAGAACACAUGGAGCAAAUGCCUUCUCGUCCCAGACCCAGGGACAAGGGAGUCUGCAUGGAGGUGCCACAGAUGGAGCAUUCUGGGAAUAUAGAGACCUGGAUUCUAGGACUGACCUUGUAAGAGUGGCUUGGGAAAGCAACCAGGACCAGUCUGGAUAUCACGAUAUUACCACAUCAAUCAGAGGCAAGAAAGGACAUUGACUGAAAGGUCAGUUGGCAUUGUGGAGUAGUAGUCUGGAAAGUCCUCUGAGGAAAUGGGCAUAUCCAUCCAGAAAGGAGUGCCUGGCACAUGGUGUGCAGUCCGAGGAGUGGGUGGGAUACUCCCUUGAAUACCAGAGUCAGGGAGUCAGGGAGCGCAGUGGUUGGGAAAGAGGGUAACUGUUGUCUGCUACCACUCCCGCUUCUCUUGGAUAUAGACCACAGGAGGCACUGAAGUAGAAACACAGAUGUAGGAGAGGCAGCGCGUGGCUGCGUGCUUGGCUCAAGCUGAGGGGUGGAACAUUGAUAGACCAGAACCCUGAACUCAUCCUUACUCUGACGUUAAUGAGAGUCACUCCAAAUCAGUGUGUCAGUACCAUUCUGGUAACCCAAUCUUGUGAAAAAAUAUAGUACCUACACGCAGAACAAUCUGCUUGUCAGGCUGCUCUCCUGGAACCAGAGCUGAGUCCCAGGGUCUUGCUAAGACCCCAAAGACAUGAGUCCUGGAGCUCCUGGGGACAUCUUGUUGACCUCAUGCAUGAAGCAGAGCAGAGGUUAUCAGACAUUUUCUGUAAAUGGCUAAAUAUUAAGUAUUUUAGGUUUUCCGGGCCGUACCUCUGUUGUGACUACUCAACUCUGUUGCUGCUGUGUGAAAGCAGCCAUAGACAACAGAAAAUGAGUUCCAAUAAAACUUUAUUUAUAAAAGCAGUCAAAGGGCUGGAUUUGGCCCUCAGCAUGGAGUUUGCUGGUCUCUGUGUACAGGGUUGGGCAGUGCAUUGGAGGGGACAAACGGAGGCUGGGUACUGCUAGGUGCUGAUAUACACACAAGAUAAAGGGAAAGGGGGGAAGGGGGAAAGCAAUUAGUACUUUUCACAAGAUGGAGAAUAUACAAGAGGGCAUUCUAGAUUUAAAAAAAUAGCAUAUGCAAAGGAGCAGAAGAGACAACAGGGCAAACAUGGGGAAGAGCAAGCAGCUUGGUACAGCUGGAGCACAGAGAACAUCACAGGGAGUGGCUAAGGGGCUUGCUACAUCCUGCAAUUUUGUUGGGAGGAUUAAAUGAGAAAACAGAUGUGAAAGUGUUUUUGCAAACUAUAGGAAUGUCAUCAUAUUGCUCACUAAUUUAAAGGCCUGGUAUGCUAUGCUAAUUAAUUUAGAUCUACCUGGAGUUACAUAGUGAGACUGGCAGCUUAGAAGGUCAUCUGAUGCUGUCUGGAGGAUGGCUUAGAGGAGCUUGACUGAGGCAGACAGGCUGACAAAGUCCGUAAUUUGGGUAAGAGAUGGUGUGAUGGUUAAUUUUAUGUGUCAACUUGGCUGGGCCAUGUGCCCAGAUAUGUGGUCAAACUUUAUUCUGGAUGUUUCUGUGAGAGUAUUUUAGGAUGAGAUUAACAAUUAAAUUGUUGGACCUUGAGUAAAGCACAUUGCCCUCCAUAAUGUGGGUGGGCCUCACUCAACCAGCUGAAGGCCUGAAUAGAACAAAAGACUGACCUCCCCUAGAUAAGAAGGAAUUCUGCCAACAGAUGGCCUUCUCCCUUGAACCACAACAUUGGCUCUUUCCUGGGUAUCCAGUCUGCUGGUCCGUUGUUACAGGUUUUGACCUUGACAGCUUCCAUAAUAGCGUGAGCCAAUUCCUAAAAUAAAUCUCUCUUUCUAUAUAUAUGUAUACAUCUCUUACUUCUGUAUCUUUGGAGAGCUCUAGCUAGUAAAGAUGGUAGAAUCUGGCAGUAGAUGGUAGAACCAGGGCAGUGGCGUGGAGAUGGAAAGAGGGGUAAGAGUUGAAAAGCUAGUUAAGACAUUAAAUUGGCAUCGUCUAGUGACAUUUUGGGUGUGCGCAGAGAGGAAGUGAGAGAUGUUUCAAUGGUGAGUUUUUUAUUAGAUGGGUUGCUGGAUGGAUUCUGAUGCCAUUGUCAAGAGAAGAAACCCAACACUGUCAACAAUCAUACCCAGACCCUGACUAGAAAUUGUGCACAUGCAUAGAAGGAGGGAAGUAGGUAGGCGCUUGGGCAAAUCCCUACUAAGGCAACACAAGCUGCUGAGGGAGAACAGGAAGUCUGUGAGAAGGGCUGGAUCUUUUGAUUUCCAAUUCCUGUCCUGGUUUGCUGGCUGGUCAGAGGAGAGUUCUGUGACCUUGCCAGUCAUGCGCAGGUCAGCCUUUCUGGCUCCACAAACUCAGCAGGGCCUCUUUAUUUUUCAUGAACAUACCGGUAAGGGUCUUUGUCUUGAUCAGUCGAAGCCAUUUAAAAUAUACCAUUCUACCAUUCACUGUCUAUUCAUGGUGUGGUUGCAAUAGGAUUAGAACCAGGUGGAUGUUACUGAUCAGCUUUCUCCCCUCCAGACCAGAUGGGUUUAUUUCCCCCACUUACAGCACUGUGGUUAAGGGCCAGGCUCUGGAGCCAGCUGGCUUAGGUUCAAACCUCACCUCUGCCAUGUACUAGCUGUGUGACCUUGCUCAAGUGGCUUCAAUUUUCUGUGCCCAAGUUUCCUCUGUUGUACCAUUACUUUCCUUAUAGGCUUAUCUGAGGUCUACAUGAGUUAACGUAGGCGAAGCACUUGAAACAAUUCCCGGCACACCACAAGCACCGUGUAAAGAUUAUGACAGAGUACUGAAUGCACCAGGAGGGAUGGGUUCCGACUUGUGGACCUUCGGACUCUUGGAGAUUUGCCUUCUACUUCUCUUCCUUAUCCUGCGUUGGGUGGUCACUGGUAAACCCAACAGUUGAUCCCAGGAAUGCAGCUAAGAAAAGGGAUUUCAGAGACCUAUGGUUUUGAUGGUGGGCGACAUUUGAAUCUCUAACUUUUGAUCUUUCUUUGGGUCAGAGUUGCUAUUUCUGCAGAGCCAUAACACUGUCAUUCAAACAAAUUUUGGCCCUUUCUAUUGAAUAUUUCAAGCAAAUGACAAAUUUCUCUUAAAUUGCUAACAACCAGAAAGGAUAUGGUGAGUUAGCUCCUGGCUGGAAUGGAGCUAUAGGCUAAGUAUAGGCUGCCCUCUUGCACUUGUCAUUGGUGGGCAUUACAAGUAUGAACAGGGAGAUGGAAGUUGAGAUUUCCAAACAAGAGAUGGUUUUAGGAGAAAAAUAAAAUCCUGGUCUAGUGUUUCCAGAGAUAUUUUCCUUUGAAAUGAAAACCAGGACCUGGUUACAAAGGUAAGGUAGACGUGCUCUUAGAUGUGAAGAAUGGCAGAUACCAAAUGAUGUGUGCGUGUGCAUACACUGUAAACAUUUGAAGCAUACCCUGUGACCUAUGCAACAAAUAAAAAGGACAUGUCACUCAUGCUUCCAAAGUCUGACUUUGAUCUUGUACGUAAACAAAGGAAAAAUACCUUCUGGAAAUUAGAUUGCCUCUGGUACCUGUGGAGGGAUGAUGGAGGUGAGGAGGCAUCCGUGCUGGUAGGGAACUGGGAAUAAGGAAUCAACCAUCAAAGACUCCCACGCCUCCUGGAGUGAUGUGGGGGAUUCAGGUUAAGAACAAGAUUAUGAGGCUUCGAGCAUCCAGUGAGACCAGGAGGGCACAACUAAGAUCCAGGAAAUAUUUUGAAACUAAGACACUAAGCAAUAAAUGAGACUCAGGAAAAAAAAAAAAACAACACAAUAAGAGUUAAGAGAAAGGACAAAGCUUUAGAGAAGGAAGAGACAGUUUCCUGGAAGAAGUAAAGUAGAAGGUGAACCUUGGAGCAUGCUUUGUGCAAUGUGUUGAGCAUUUACUUAGCAGCGAAAUUAACUGGGCAGGAGAAAAAAAUAUUUGCAUUUUUGAAAAUGACUUUUCCUCUGCACAGUUGCAGGCCACAUGAUGCCACCCAUUGGUUGAAACGGGGAUUGUAAAUAUUCUCCAAGUGGAGCUGAAUGUAAAAGGGAUUUAGACAGCAAUGGAGAAUGUGAGGAUCUGUAUUAUCUAAGCUGGAGUUUGCACCAACGCUAUAUUAGUAUUUACAGUUGGAAUAAAGGAAAAAAAGCUCUCCUUGCCAACGUCGCAUAAGCGCAUUUAAAGUAUCCAACACAUUUUACUGAACACAGGUACAGACGUGUAUAAAGCAAUGCAUUUUUCCCCCUUGGAUCAAAGAUAGAUGCUAACUGUCAGUGAAGUUUCUGGAGAAGAGGGCAUUUUGGUAUCUUAGCAAAUUUUCAAGAUAAAUUAAUUUCUUUUUGUCUCCUUGUCUUUCCCAACAACCUGUCCUGAUUACAUUAGAAGGGAUGAAUUGAAAAGCUAUUGAUUUCAGAUUGAUUGGUUUUAUAUUUCUUGCAAGAUAUCAAGAUUGACUUUGAUUUUAGAUAUUAGCAUUUAGGCUACUUGAAAACUAUGAAAGCAUUCUUGGCUGUGGUAUAAAUUUCAAAAUAUGACAUCUUUAAGAGGAUUUUGUGUGUGUUUGCAUGUAUGCAUAUGUGUUAAACACUAAGCCCAAAAUUGUGGUCUCAUCUAAUUGUUAUUAUUAUCAGAGGUUUCUACAUUUCCAGUGCAGAUCUUAAACAAUAUCCUUCUAGUGGAUAUAAACCUAUUGGAAAUCUAGCUUUAAAUGAACAUUUAUAAUUCUCAUUCAACAAAGACUGCUGAAGUACCAUUAAUUUCUCCUUGCCCAAAUCCUUAAUUUCUCCUCCCUUCUUCCACUCUAAGUCUAGUCACCCAAGUCAGGGGCUGGCAGCUAUAUAGAAACCGAAGCAUAGAUUUUGAGUGUUUGGGAACAUUUAACACUAAGAUUUUCAAACUCCUGGUGAACAAAGUGAUUGAAAUUCUGACCUUGUAGUGGCAAAAGGGCAUAAUACAGACUUGAAAUCUAUGUGUGAGGUUAUCUCAUGAAUGAUUCUAUUUGAGAAUAAGCUGAAAAAAAACCCCACCAUAGACGUAUUUUAAACUUAAAUAUGAAGCUGAUGUUUAAAAAGGGGAAAUAUACCAUAGAAGUGAAGAACGUAAGAAGAGCUUGAUCAAGAUUUGGAAAGGCUACUAGACAUGUAUCCAGGUUCUCAUUGGUAUGUGCAUUCUACUCCUUUCUCCCUGUUAGCUAACUGUAAGUAUAUCAAUACUAUGGACUUCAUUUUUUCCUUAUUUUGGCAUUUUCUUGGAAAACAGAUCAUAAAGAUUGUUUUUUGUUUUGUUUUGUUUUACAAUCAAAUAUUAAACGUCAGUGGAAAGGAAUUUUCUCUUGGCCAUGCCUGAAUAGUUCCAUAUUAUUACGUGGUAUUUCUAUAUUUUCUUAUAUGUCAAUACUUCUUCAAUUAUACGAGUAUAUUUUAAAGAAAAAUAGUGCCCUUUGGACAGAUGGGGCGGGUAGUGCUCCAGCUCUGGAGUGAGGCAGACCCGGGGUCAAAUGCCAGGGCUUCCGUGGAGAAGGUACCUCAGGCUGUCAGGAGACCGCAACUCUCCAGGCAUUAGCCCAGGAAGAAUAAGAAAGAUAGCUUCCUCCUUGUGAAGUUUCUGUGAGAUUGAAUAUCAUAUUUGUAAAAUACUUGGCAGAGAGAGAGAAUGGUAGUUUAAAAAAUAAAACAUAAUCCAUGUUUGAGAAAAUAUCCACUUCACUUAAAUUUGUAUUCAAUAAAUAUCACUGAGAGAUGGCCUCGGAGCUUUGUCCAUAUCUCAGAACAUGUGCAGUUUCUUUUUCUUACUGUGAUUACUUGGGUCUUUGUCUCAUCAUUUACAUUGACUGUGAGCCUCUUACGGGGCUGUGACUUCACCACGUUAGCAUCCUUUAUAGCAUGGCUUCCUGGUUUCCCAAUGUGUCAUCCGCUAAACACGGGUCCGAAAAUACUCUCCUCAGGGGAAAAAUUUUCCAUGAUCGAAUAAGUUUGGGAAACUUUGAAUAUAUGCUGUGUUCCCCCCACCCCAAGAGCUUUUCAACUUGUAUUAACUCAUUGAUUGUGCUGAAAAGCCAUGUAAUAAAGAAGCCCUAACUCUGUUUAACUCAGUGUUUCUCAAACUUUUUAGACCAUCAAGAACCAUCUCUGCUUUUUAAUAACAUCAAUUACUAUUUGGAGCAACCCUUCUCUUAAGGUGGCUUGUGCAGUGUCUUCAGAGCAAGUAGACAGUAAAAAUCCAUAGCAUUAUGUUUUAUGUAUUGAUAUUGUAUUACUCUUUAUGUAAAAUCUUAUUAUUCCUAACAGCUAUUUAAUUCUGCUCAUAUUAAAUAGGUCUGAUUUUUCUCAUUAGUUCUGG
ensembl:lncRNA